GGAAAUGAGACGAAGGGGGACGUGCUGAGGAUGACAGCAUUUUGUUGGGCAGUGCGCUGAGUUGCGUGUGCUUUUAUCAUUUCUUUUUUGGUGGUGGACUGGGGAGGGCGGGGCAGCGAGCCGUCCCUGUGCGGAUUGGAGCCCAGGAGGACGCGGGGGCUCCUGCUUUGUGAGCAGUGAGGGGGCUGUAGAGCGCAGCCAGCACAUGUAUGGACCAAGGAGGGGCAGCCUCGGGACGGGAUGUGUGCAGGGCAGUAGUGCUGGGCCAGCCGGGACACCCCGCCUUUCCCGAGAAGCUGGAACUAGUUGGGGGCGCUGCAUUUUAAAGCAGGAACCUCUGAGGCCCACUGAGCUGGCCGUUUUGCAAACCCGCUCAGGGUGGAGCAAGGUCUUUCCCCGCGCCUGUGACCCUCGAGCCUGCUUUCUCUUUGCCGGCUGUGCUUCUCCCCGUCUGACCCCCUGGGUCUCCACCAUACUCAGCAGGCCCCCCCACCACAGGUAUUUUGGCUGAGCCAGGGUUAUUUUAGGUGGAGUUGGGGGUCCCAGGGGGUUGUUGGGCAGAAAUACCAAUGGGUGACAUGCCCCCCACCCCCGCUUAAGACCAUUCCUCAAGAAUGUCACAGGAUCCCACAGCAUCUUCCUCUCUGGCUGAGGCUGGGCAGGUGGCCCGCCUGUGGUCCACCCCGGGUCUCGUCUGCCUCCCAGGGCAGCAGAGGAAGUUCACCCUUGAAGUAUUUCUAAGUUUCCCCUGCAGGUGCCGACUCACAAGCUCUUGUCACUGAGAAGACGGCCAUGUGUGGGACCCUGGCUGCCACCAUCCCACUCUCGGGUCCCUGCGGUCCCAGUUGUGCCUCCAGCCCGGCUCCCAGAGACAGUUUUGAAGGGGGCUGAGUUUGCUCAGAAGCCUCAGCAUCCUCUGCCCAGGGAACAGGACGGCUCCAAGGUGAUUCUGUUAAGUGGCCAGAGAGCUGGCCGGCUCCACGCCCACAGGGCAGAGCCUGAUGGAGGAGAUGUGACCAUUUGCAGUUGGCAGACUUUCCCUUCCACUGUUUUCUCUGUUGCUCAGAGUCAGCGCUGGAUCCUUAUUUGCGGACAGAGAACCGGCACUAAGGAGAUCAAGAACUUACUGGAGGAUACAGCCUGGAGGCGGCAGUGCUGGGGUUCAUAUCUGCAGCUUCUGACUUCCAAGGCCAGUGCUCUUUCAAUAAUAAUUGCUGUUUAUAAUUAGCAUAUAUAGUUAUACCAAGAUGUGGUCACCACGGUGUGCUGAGGGUGCUGGAUGCCACUGUCUCAUGGAGGAGGUAACUGCCCACACCCCCCCCCAGGUGGCGGGGGCGCUUGGGUGAUCAGGCCUUAGAUUCCCUGAUGCUGGGUGUGUCCCUGGCCAGCCUGGACCUCCAGCCUGUCCCCAUCAGCCUCUGUGCUGCCAAGGAUCCCAGCUCAGGGCAGGGCAGGGCUUAUCCCUGUUUUCAGGACAUGCAAGAGGCAUGGCCCAGGUCACAUAGCUGCUGGGUGGCAUAGGCCCCUUGCCUGGCAGAGGUGUCUUGGAAGCAGCACAGCCUGUGUGGGGCUUGCUAACGUGGGCCUUGCCCUGAGCUGGCGGCCCUCAGGGGCAGGAGCGCUGCUGGGGAUGCCUCAGGCUCCCCAAGGCUGUGCCCCUCCCUCUUUCCUACAGAGCUGACCUCCCGGAGCCUGGCCUGAGGGCCGCCUGUUCAGGGAACUCGCUCCAGGAAGUGGUUGCUGUUCCUGGGCUGGGCUGCAGGGCUGGAGGGUCAGCCUGUCUCAGAUAUGAUAGCGGAGAGGGGAGCUGGGCCCCGAGAAGGCCGCUCUCUCUCCUCAGUAGGGCCCCCACCCUGCCCCACGACAGCUCUUUGCUGCAGGGAACCUGCUCUUGGCAAUGACAUCCAUGUAACCCGUUUCCCAGAAGACAAGACAGUGAGGCUGGCAGACUCAGCCAGUACCUUAGUGGAAAAUGGGGCAGGAGCCCUCGCUCCAGCUUCUCUUGGGAAUCUGAGUGGGGAGGUGGCCCGAAGAUGCCUUGCUUACCUGGAUCAGAAAUAACCUCAACUCAGAGUUCCGUGGUGGCUUGGUGUGUUAAGGAUCCAGCGUUAUCCCUGAUGUGGCUUGCACUCCGUCUCUGGCCUGGGAAUUUUUGCAGGCUGUGGCUGUGGCUGUGGCUGUGGCUGUGGCUGUGGCUGUGGCUGUGGCUGUGGCAGAGAGAGAGGAAGGAAGGAUGGGCCUCAGCUCAACUAGAAGCCUGGAGCACUCAGGCUGAGGAUAGAGUUUUGAGCCCCUGGAGGUGAUGGGAAUGUGCCCAGGAGCCUGAUCGGGGCGGCCACGUAGCUGGGGCCCCGGGGAGAGCCCCUUCCCCUCUGAGCCUUGUUGCCUCGUUUCUUUAAUGGACAUAACGGUGCCCUGUAGGAGUAUGUGUACUUCCGAGGCCUAUUCUGCACAGACAGAAGUUGUGGCAUCCUCUUCCUCCCCUUCCACGGGGACACUCGGGGACGAGGCUGGCGUGGAGAGCGUGCGAGUUGCACCGCAUGCUCAGGAGCCAGUGGAGGUCUCCAGAGCCGGCACUGAUGCAGAAAAGCAGGCUUGGGUCUUGAAUCUCCAUCUGGCCACGGCGGAGAUGUCUGGAGCAACUAAGGGAAAAGAGGCAUUCCCUUGUCAUGGGAGUUGCCAGGUUGAUGGAACUGCUGGUGGCCAACUCCUGUUUUCCACUUGAGGACAAAGCCAACAAAGAGGAAAGAGCCAAGAGGUGGAGAAAGUAUGCUGUCCAGACAUCAAUAAACCCCUGGAUCCAGCCAUACCUGAACUUAACCGCACUUUUGGACAAACCUGAUUAUAUGAGCCAAUACUUUUCUUUUUUUCUAAAACCAUUCUGUGGUUUGAGUUUCUGUCAUAGAAAGGGUCCUAAUAAAGCAAUUUUUUUUGUCUCAUUAAAAAAAAAAUCAGCUUUGAGAUAUACUUUAUCUGUAAUAAAGUUCACCCAUUUUAAGUA
rnacentral:lncRNA from 1 species